UACGUAGGGUGCAAGCGUUAAUCGGAAUUACUGGGCGUAAAGCGUGCGCAGGCGGUUUUGUAAGACUGUCGUGAAAUCCCCGGGCUCAACCUGGGAAUGGCGAUGGUGACUGCAAGGCUAGAGUUGGCAGAGGGGGGUAGAAUUCCACGUGUAGCAGUGAAAUGCGUAGAUAUGUGGAGGAACACCGAUGGCGAAGGCAGCCCCCUGGGUCAAAACUGACGCUCGAUGCACGAAAGCGUGGGGAGCAAACAGG
rnacentral:rRNA from 1 species